rnacentral:rRNA from 1 species
CCCUAUGGGGUGCAGCAGGCGCGAAACCUUUACAAUGCACGAAAGUGUGAUAAGGGGAUCCCCCGUGCUCAUGCAUUGCAUGGGCUUUUGUUAAGUGUAAAUAGCUUGGCGAAUAAGUGGUGGGUAAGACUGGUGCCAGCCGCCGCGGUAACACCAGCGCCACGAGUGGUAACCACGUUUAUUGGGCCUAAAGCGUCCGUAGCCGGUCUGGCAAGUCUUUUGUGAAAUUGUUUGGCUUAACCAAACAGCGUGCAAGAGAAACUUCCAGACUUGAGACCGGGAGGAGUCAGAAGUAUUCCAGGGGGAGCGGUAAAAUGUUAUAAUCCCUGGAGGACUACCUGUGGCGAAGGCGUCUGACCAGAACGGAUCUGACGGUGAGGGACGAAAGCCAGGGGAGCGAACCGGAUUAGAUACCCGAGUAGUCCUGGCCGUAAACGCUGCCAGCUAGGUGUUGCAUCAGUCACGAGCUGAUGCAGUGUCGAAAGGAAGCUGUUAAGCUGGCCGCCUGGGAAGUACGGUCGCAAGACUGAAACUUUAAGGAAUUGGCGGGGGAGCACCACAAGGGGUGCGGCGUGCGGUUUAAUCUAAUUCAACGCAGAGAACCUUACUAGGGGCGACGGCAGGAUGAAGGUCAACUUGAAGAGUUUACCUGACAAGCCGAGAGGAAGUGCAUGGCC